ACCAGAGGCCUCAUUCAAGCCUCUCAAUUGGCUCUUAAAGAUGAAAGUGGCUCUGCAGAUCCUUCUCUGCGAUGGGAAGCCUAGGAGAAUGGUUGCAGCAGGCACAGAUGGUCCACCCUCAAGUUAAAAACACUGGGCAUGAGUGUGGUGAGUCAUGGUCAGAUGCUCUUCAGGAUUCACUGGGCCUCCCACGUUCCCUAAUAAGCCACAUCCUCUUCCAUUGUCCCUUCUAUUCCUUCUACCCUCCUCACUCACGUGACCAGACUCUGAAGAUCUUCCGGUCGAGGUUCAUGGCCCCUCUGUGAUCUAUUCCUAGACCACAUUCUUUUGGAAUCUUUCUUCCCUCCACUCUUAGUCUCUGUUUUACAUUCUUCUGAGAAUUGAGCCUCUUGAUGACUGGUCCCUUGUUUUUCCUACCAUAUCGUUUUAACCAUGAUGUUCUCGGUCUGUUUUACUUACACUAGUCCUGUGGAUGGAGACAUUUUAGUGAAGAACUGCUGACAAGAUUGGCUGAGACACUUCCUGACCUAACCAGUGCUCUCACCUCCCCAGUCAUCACCCCCAAUUUCUCGAAAGUGGAACAAGAUUAUGCUCCCCAGCGCCUCUUCUCGACUCAGCACUUCUGAGGACACAGAUAGUGAUCAGACGGUCUUGUAGAGAAAAUGACUGGUACAAACUGAACGACCUUUUUGUAGCCUGGAGUUGAUUUCUGAAAGCACACUUUUUGAAGAUGACUUGCUUUCCGCUAUUCCUACAUGCUCAGCUGUGAGAACAGCGUGCAGUGCCCCUUCUCCGUUCGUGGAGGUGUGAGAUGGGACAACGUGGAUUCCUGGAAGUCACCGGCUCUGCCUCCCGGCUGCUGUGCACGUGCACGUCCUCCCUGCUCUCUGGUGGCUGUGCACCGGUCUUUUUUUCAAGGCUGCUCAGGUAGCUCCAUGGUCUAGAUUUCAUUCUCAGGGCCUCCCAAAGCUGUGUAUCAUUUGAAAUUGUUCCAUUUGAGGAAAAACUUUAAGAAUAGCUCUAUGCUCUAGUCACCAAGAAAGAAUGUCAUGAGAAACCUAAGUAUUGAGACAUAAACUACUGAACUGAGGAUCUGGGAUUAAGUGUAUGGCAAUAGCUAGAUCAUAGUUACCAUUUUUCCCACCAUCAAAGAAAGGUUAAAUAGUUUCCAUAACAUGGAAUGUGGACAAGGCUCCUACUCUUAAUGCAGACUUAGAUAUGCAGUUGUUUGUCUCAGGCUAUUUGUGGUGAAUAAGCAGAGUAUUUUUAAAUGCUCUGGCAGCCUUGGAAAAACUGCAGGGCUUUAAAGUUGCUGACAAAAUAUUUCUUAAAUAAAUAAAUCUGAUU